rnacentral:lncRNA from 1 species
AGGAUCUCUCGGGAAUCCAACCCGUAGUCCAUCAUAUCAAUUUCUGGAGUAUCUCUCGGGAAUUGAACCCGUAGUCCGUCAUAUCAAAUUCUGGAGGAUCUCCCGAAAAUGGAACCUGUAGUCCACCAUAGCAAUAUCUGGAGAAUCUCCCAGGAAUCAAACUUGUAGUCCAUCGUACCAAUAUCUGGAGGAUCUCCCGGGAACCGAACCAGUAGUCCAUCAUACCAAUAUCUGGAGUAUCUCUCGGGUAUCGAACCCGUAGUCCAUCACACUAAUAUCUG